GCGGCCUUAUUUAUGUACAAAAAAUGAACGAAAAACAAAUAUGUAACGCAUAAACAAACGACAACCACUGAAGUACAGGCUCCUGACUUAAAUGUUCAUAACAUACUAAAUGUAUAUUCAUAUUGAAAUUGAUAGAAAACCACACAUUGGGAAUUUUGGAAAUAAGGGAGGAGGGAUUAAAAAAAACAUUUUCCUGUCCCCAA
rnacentral:lncRNA from 1 species